rnacentral:rRNA from 1 species
CUACGGGAGGCACCAGUGGGGAAUAUUGGACAAUGGGGGAAACCCUGAUCCAGCAAUGCCGCGUGUGUGAAGAAGGCCUGCGGGUUGUAAAGCACUUUCGGUUGGGAGGACUGCUUCUAGCACUAAUAUUGUUGGAAGUUGACGUUACCUUCAGAAGAAGCACCGGCUAGCUCCGUGCCAGCAGCCGCGGUAAUACGGAGGGUGCAAGCGUUAAUCGGAAUUACUGGGCGUAAAGCGCGCGUAGGCGGCUAGAUCAGUCGGGUGUGAAAGCCCCGGGCUUAACCUGGGAACUGCAUCCGAUACUGUCUAGCUUGAGUACAGGAGAGGAGAGUGGAAUUCCACAUGUAGCGGUGAAAUGCGUAGAUAUGUGGAGGAACACCAAUGGCGAAGGCAGCUCUCUGGCCUGAUACUGACGCUGAGGUGCGAAAGCGUAGGGAGCAAACAGGAUUAGAUACCCCAGUAGUC